CAUUGUUUCUCCUCUUAUAUAAACCAUUUUGAAAAAGCUUACAUUACAUUGAUUCUUCAAUCAUGUAACAAUUCUUCAGGAAGUGGAGAUAUUGAUUCUCUCACCAAAAAAUCAGAAUGAAAAGCCUUCCUCUGAUUUAGAGUAAGUUCCUGGAUACGUACUUUGUUUCUUGAUGUUCUAUAUUAGUUUGGUUUCUAAGACUUUUUAUCUAGGUUUUGAUGAACCACAUGAUAUAUUUAUGAACUUAUUGUCUUACUGGUGACUGAGAAUCGGUGUCAGUCCUUAGUUGUUUAUAUUUGCUUGAUAUGCAUGAUGGAUCCUAUUCUAGAGGUCCAGUUGGAAUCCGGGGAGAUGAGUGAAUCGAACUAUUACGUCAAACCGGCUUUCAAGUUUGAAUAGGUCUGUCUACUUUUGGAUUAUUUUGGUUUAGGACUUAUGAGCUCAAAGAAACCAUGGAGCCAUCUAACGAAAGCGAAAAAGAAGGCAAGCUCUGUUGAACUCAAGUUGUCUUCCUAGAGGAGGACCUUCUUACUGUAACUAUACCGUGGGAGCUGGUGGUUCCUCAUUCAAUGGUUUAUCUCUUACUGAUUUCUUGGAUAAAUUUAUGGAGAAGAAACCAACGCAAAACACUUGGCAUAGUGGCUCCCAAAUCAAACGUUCCAAGGAGGAUUGCUACCUUAACGGUGUCCUUAUUUUCACACGUACCAUUGGGGGCUGUGAACUGGAGACUGCUUACUCUUUUCACUGCCUCCUCUUCACCUCUGAUUUCAGACCAGAGAUUCAACAUAUUAUAUUAACAAAUGAUGUUGAGUUCUUGAUUUUGGCAUGUGAUGGUACGUGGGAUGUGUUUUCAAGCCAGAAUUCAGUGAGUAACGUAAAGCAAGAACUGAGCAGGCCGCAAGGGAGAAUAUUCACUCGGGUUGCACAGUACAAGCCUCUCAUGUUUACUAAAGCCUUACUUUUCAUAAAAAAGUUACAGAAGGAGCUACAUCUCAUGUGAAUUUUGGUGACGAGGUACAAAUCUUACUGUUCAUAAACAAACAACCUGAAAGGCAGUACAAGCCAAGGAAAAUUCUCCAAAAUUUUCUGGUAAGCAGAAGAAACAUCUAUUCUGGUUAAAAAAAAAAAAAAAAACAUCUAUUCUGGUUGCAGGAGAUCGUAUGUGAGUAUUAGUGUUGUGCUAACUCCCCACAAACUUCUGCAAAUGUAUCACCUCACGGGUAUGUUCCAGUCCAUGGUUCAUUAUCAAAACCUCAUACGCAUGAGACAGGAAACAUUAUAGCAACUUCCAAUAAUGCAGCUGAACUGAGAAAAAAAAUGUUGAAUGUCGGGGGAUAAAAUGGUUAGUUUAUUGUUUUAUAAUCCAAAAGGCUCCUGUUCCAUUGAACAA